rnacentral:misc_RNA from 1 species
CCCAACUAUCCCUAUUAAUCAUUACGACUGUCCCGGAAACCAACAAAAUAGAACCGUCGUCCUAUUUCAUUAUUCCAUGCUAAUGUAUUCAAGCGUACGAGCCCGCUUUGAGCACUCUAAUUUUUUCAAGGUAAAGGUCCUGGUUCCCGCGGACACCAAGUGAAUGGCAUCCACGCUCGCCAGAAGGUAGGACCCGACCACAGACAGUUCUCACCCAGAGGGCGGACCGUCCAGCCAGGCCUGAAAUUCAACUACGAGCUUUUUAACUGCAACAACUUUAAUAUACGCUAUUGGAGCUGGAAUUACCGCGGCUGCUGGCACCAGACUUGCCCUCCAA